UACGAAGGGGGCUAGCGUUGCUCGGAAUCACUGGGCGUAAAGGGCGCGUAGGCGGCCAUUCAAGUUAGAGGUGAAAGCCCGGGGCUCAACCCCGGAAUUGCCUUUAAGACUGCAUCGCUUGAAUCCGGGAGAGGUGAGUGGAAUUCCGAGUGUAGAGGUGAAAUUCGUAGAUAUUCGGAAGAACACCAGUGGCGAAGGCGGCUCACUGGACCGGUAUUGACGCUGAGGUGCGAAAGCGUGGGGAACAAACAGG
rnacentral:rRNA from 1 species